ensembl:lncRNA
ACACGGCAACAAGGUGCCCCACGGAGGCACAUUCAGGCCCACUGGGGCAACCUGCGCCACACCCCCGACACGACCGGGAAACCCAAACCCCUGGCACCUCCUCUGCCUCAGGACUUCCGCCAGGACUCACCGCCCCUGCGGAAACCCUCUCUCUUCCUUUGUUCUCUCCCUCUCUCUCUCUCCCUCUCGGUCCCACCCGCUGUCACCCUUUCCCUGGCGAGCGCGCGCGCACCGAAGCUUUCUCUCCUUUGCUGGACCCAUCCGACGCACGAUCAGCCACUUGCCCUCACAAGAGUCUGUCCGUGCCAGCCGGCUCUCCAGGAACCCCAGCACGGGCGCACUGAUGCUACCCUGCCCUGACGAAGGGUGACGGCCACCAACUCCCCUUGACCUCUCCAUGAUGCGGAAUCCCCUCAGCGCCCGUAAGACCCCCCCGGAGCCGUUCCCGUGCCCAGCAGCAGGCACGAACCCCCUGACGAGACGUGGUCGCUACCCGGCGGGUCCCGCCCGCCCCACGCCCCUCCCAGGCCCGACCACACACCAACCGGGACACCCAAGUCGGCCGGGAGACACGGCUCAAAUCCCCACAGGGCGUGGGACAUUCCCCCAAACAGCCGGGACUCCUGAACGGGCCAGGCCUUCCAGGGCCUCAAGCCCCGGGCCUUCCUGGCAAGCACGCGGCCGCCGGGCCUCAUCAAAGCCCUCUGUCACCGUCGGGGCCAGGACACCGCCACCGCUGCCCAAGCCCAGGCCUCCCGUCUCCGCUCGCCAUCAAGCCGCCCGCCGCAGGACCCGGACACCCGCCCCGAGCAGCCUCCCAGGCACUGCCAGCUGAGAGACGUCCCUGGCCGCCGACCUCCCCGCUCUGCCCAGGCCCCCGCGCGGCGACCUGGGCGAAGCGCUCCACGCGGCGCGGGUGGCUCGCUCUGCCGGGCAGACCACCCCCUCCAGGGCGUCCAAGGGCUCGGCAUCGGACCCUCCAGGGAGAGGGAGACCGUGCACCGGGAAGGACUCCGACCCGUGGCCUCCCAAAGGACCCCCCCAAGGUGCGGUCAGCGCCGCGGCCCAGGGACCUGGCGGCUGCCUUCCCCAGACCCCCACGGGGAGCCACGCCUCCCAGAGGAGAGGCCACAUGCAAGACCGUCCCCGCCCCUGCCCGCGCGGUCCUUCCCGACCCGGGCCUCCCACAGCCGCUGACGCCAUCCCACUUGAGGCCAGGGCACCUCCUCCAGAGCCCCUCGCCCAUCCAGACCUGGGCCUGUCCACCCACGUCCCCGGCAGGCUCCCUCUGCCCGCCUGUCGCUCACCACUUCAGCUGCCCCCUUCUCGCCACCCAGCCCCAGCCUCCGCCCCCACAUCCCUGGACGUCCCAGGGGAGCGCCCUCAGGGGUUCCCAGGCUCCCCCCCUCCCAUGGGGGACGGCCCUGAUCCAAGGGCCCCCGCUACCACAGACCCCCUGCAGCAGGUGGCCCUCAGGGGUCCCCAGAGCAGAAAGAGAACACUACCCUGCCGGGAUCCCGUCUCCCCACAGCAUCCUGAGAAGGGCGCCGGGCCUGGGCCAGGACGCUCCCUGGGGCCCUAGGGCCGCACACUUGCCUCUCGUGCCGGGCCCAAAUUUCGGCCCCCGCGACGGCUUGCGAAACCCCCCAAGGCCGGCGGGAGGCCGCCCGGGAUCUCCAGCACGCUCGGGCACGCGGCCUCUCCCCCGAGGCCAGCGCCGGGCGACGGGCCCCAUGCUUCCUGGGCCCGGCAGGCGGACCUCAGUUUCGAUGAGGAGACGGUAGUGAGUUCUCACUCAUUUUGUUCAGAUUUCCAAGGAAUGCUUUAGAGGGAGUCAUCAUCGAUCCGAGCACGGGCUCCGCCGCCGCAAGGCAAAUUCACGGCCUCCGCACCUGGACAUCCAACCCGCUCCAUCACGGCAGCGUUUGGGGGCGUGCCCAGACAGACGAGCCACUGGGCAGGACGGGACGCUCCCCCUCACGCCCCCGGAGCUGGCCUGCCGGGGCCAAAGCCCGCGAGAAGCGGGGGUGGCCCGGGGCUCCGGACAGACGAGCGCCCCAAGGGCGAGUUCUCCAACGAGGACAGGGGCCGCUCACCAUUGCCAGGUCUCCACAGAGCCGCGAUAGGGACACCACGCCCACUGGUCUGCGGGUGCUCCUCGGCCUCGCUCGGUGGCACGCCACAAGAUCAGGGGUCCGCCAUGCUGCUCUCCUGGGUCAGGGCGAGAGAGCACACACACCACAAGGGUUU